UUGACGUUUUCAGGAGAGAAAAGAUGGCAGACAUCUUUCACCGAAGGAGUAAUACUUUCAGGUGUCUUAUGACAGGACUGAUAAAC
rfam:Streptococcus ratti FA-1 = DSM 20564 Contig200, whole genome shotgun sequence.